rnacentral:rRNA from 1 species
UACGUAGGGGGCAAGCGUUGUCCGGAAUCAUUGGGCGGAAAGCGCGCGUAGGCGGCCCGGUAAGUCCGUUGUGAAAGUCAAAGGCUCAACCUUUGAACGCCGAUGGAUACUGCCGGGCUAGGGUCCGGAAGAGGCGAGUGGAAUUCCUGGUGUAGCGGUGGAAUGCGCAGAUAUCAGGAGGAACACCAAUAGCGAAGGCAGCUCGCUGGGACGGUACUGACGCUGAGGCGCGAAAGCGUGGGGAGCGAACAGG